rnacentral:tRNA from 1 species
GUCCCUGUAGCUUAUUGAUAAAGCAUGACAUUGAAAAUGUCACGACGAGAACCACCACCUCCAGAGACA